rnacentral:tmRNA from 1 species
GGGGAUGCGUGGUUUCGACAGGGUCUGGCUGUCAGGGAACGCGAGCCGAGGUGCCGUCAGGCCUCGUUAAACAGGCGGCAAAACGAAGUACCUGCCAACAAGCAGCCUGCUCUCGCCCUCGCCGCUUAGGCGGUAAGGUGAGCGUGGAAGCGGCCUCCCCUCCGCGGGCCGUGGAAGCGUCACUCAGCGGAGGUGCAGCCCGGAUGAGCGUCACGUAGUCCGGAGCGAAGCCCGAUCUAGGGACACGUGACUGGGCCGGACGGAAGCCUGCCGAUGGGCGUCCGACCGGCUGACGAAAACCAUCGGACACGCUCGUAGUGGGUCCUGGCGAAGGGUUCUGGACGGGGAGUUCGACUCUCCCCCAUCUCCACCA